rnacentral:rRNA from 1 species
CCUACGGGGGGCUGCAGUGGGGAAUAUUGCACAAUGGGGGAAACCCUGAUGCAGCGACGCCGCGUGAGUGAAGAAGUAUCUCGGUAUGUAAAGCUCUAUCAGCAGGGAAGAAAAUGACGGUACCUGAUUAAGAAGCCCCGGCUAACUACGUGCCAGCAGCCGCGGUAAUACGUAGGGGGCAAGCGUUAUCCGGAUUUACUGGGUGUAAAGGGGGCCUAGACGGCAGCACAAGUCUGGAGUGAAAUGCCGGGGCUUAACCCCGGAACUGCAUUUGAAACUGUGCAGCUAGAGUGCAGGAGAGGUAGGCGGAAUUCCUAGUGUAGCGGUGAAAUGCGUAGAUAUUAGGAGGAACACCAGUGGCGAAGGCAGCUUACUGGACUGUAACUGACGUUGAGGCUCGAAAGCGUGGGGAGCAAACAGGAUUAGAUACCCGGGUAGUC